CCCGGAGAAAGACUCAUAACCAACAAUAAACUAUAGAUGAAUAACACAACCAAAUGAUCUGUAUUUGAUCUGAUUACAAAAAUAUUAACAAACUUGAACCGAUAACAAUCACACUAGCUGCAGAAUACAACAAAUAUAAACUGCAAAAUGGAAGACAACAGAAAACCCAAAUAAGCUACCUAUACAGCCAAACCACCACUGACCACUCAAAAGAAAAACCUGACAAAAGGUUAGCCCAAAGUCAAUUUCUUCUCUUUCUCAUCCGUUUUUUUUUUUUUUUUUUUUUUUUUUUUUUUUUUUGCUGAUUUCUAAGCAGAGGAGUAACAAUCCUAUGUCAGAAGAAUGCCAAUUUCCAUCCUUGAAAAUGUUCUCUUCCUGAGUAUACUUUUCUUUGCCAAUUACAACGUGACGCACAGUCAUUAGGCAUGCAAGUUACCAUCUUAUAAUCAAUAACAGGAGAAAGGGAAAAAUAAAAAAAUAUAAAAAGAACUAAAUAACAAGGCCGAUGCUGAUUUAUGCCUCACUGAUUAUACAGGAGGAAUUUACCGUCAUUGUGUGUUGCGUGUUAACCCACCACGUGCCACAUGUCUUCCAGCAAGCAACUGAGCAGUACUGACAGGCCCUUUUGAAUUACCAAACCGCUUCGCCCUAUUCUCAUGUUCUUUCUCUACACGCAUGGCAGCCACUUCCUUCUCCAUCGCAGCUACUUCCCUUCUCAUCUUCUUAGCCUCCACUUCCAUUGCUUUAGUUAAUGUUUCUACCUUCUUCGCUAACAUCUCAAUUGCAUCAUCCUUAUCUUUGAGGCUUUGAUCUUU
rnacentral:misc_RNA from 1 species